rnacentral:rRNA from 1 species
CUCAGUAACGGCGAGUGAAGCGGCAACAGCUCAAAUUUGAAAUCUGGCGCCUCCGGCGUCCGAGUUGUAAUUUGUAGAGGAUGCUAUUGGGUUGCCACCGGUCUAAGUUCCUUGGAACAGGACGUCACAGAGGGUGAGAAUCCCGUAUGUGACCGGCCAGGCGCCCUCCGUAUAGCUCCUUCGACGAGUCGGGUUGUUUGGGAAUGCAGCCCUAAAUGGGAGGUAAAUUUCUUCUAAAGCUAAAUACCGGCCAGAGACCGAUAGCGCACAAGUAGAGUGAUCGAAAGAUGAAAAGCACUUUGGAAAGAGAGUUAAAAAGCACGUGAAAUUGUUGAAAGGGAAGCGCUUGCAAUCAGUCUCGACGGCGGCUGUUCGGCCUCUCUUCUGAGUGGUUUAUUCAGUCGCCGCCGGGCCAGCAUCAGUUUCGGCGGUCGGACAAAGGCGCGGGGAAUGUAGCUCCCUCGGGAGUGUUAUAGCCCCGCGUGCAAUACGGCCCGCCGGGACUGAGGUCCGCGCUCCGGCUAGGAUGCUGGCGAAAUGGUUGUAAGCGGCCCGUCUUGAAACACGGACCAAGGAGUCUAACAUCUACGCGAGUGUUUGGGUGUCAAACCCGUGCGCGCAAUGAAAGUGAACGGAGGUGGGAACCGCAAGGUGCACCAUCGACCGAUCCUGAUGUCUUCGGAUGGAUUUGAGUAAGAGCGUAGCUGUUGGGACCCGAAAGAUGGUGAACUAUGCCUGAAUAGG